UAAUACGGAGGGUGCAAGCGUUAAUCGGAAUUAUUGGGCGUAAAGGGCGCGUAGGCGGAUUUAUAAGUCUGGUUUGAAAUACCGUGGCUCAACCACGGUGCGGGACUGGAAACUAUAGAUCUAGAGGGUAGACGGAGAAACGGAAUUCCAAGUGUAGCGGUGAAAUGCGUAGAUAUUUGGAAGAACACCGGUGGCGAAAGCGGUUUUUCUAGUUUAUUCCUGACGCUGAGGCGCGAGAGCAAGGGGGAGCAAACAGGAUUAGAUACCCUGGUAGUCCUUGCCGUAAACGUUGUAUACUUGAUGUAACUGGGCUCAACCCUAGUUGUGUCGUAGCUAACGCGAUAAGUAUACCGCCUGGGGAGUACGCUCGCAAGGGUGAAACUCAAAAGAAUUGACGGGGGCCCGCACAAGCAGUGGAGCAUGUGGUUUAAUUCGAUGCAACGCGAAGAACCUUACCCAGAUUUGAAAUACAGAGGAAUUUGGCAGAAAAUGUCAAAGCCCGCAAGGGUCUUUGUACAGGUGCUGCAU
rnacentral:rRNA from 1 species